GAAGCACUGGCGCUAGUUGGUGUGGAGCCAUCCUUGAAAUACCACCCUUGUAUGUUUGAUGUUCUAACUUAGCCCCCUUAUCGGGGGUGAGGACAGUGCCUGGUGGGUAGUUUGACUGGGGCGGUCUCCUCCCAAAGAGUAACGGAGGAGCACGAAGGUUGGCUAAGUACGGUCGGACAUCGUACGGUUAGUGUAAUGGCACAAGCCAGCUUAACUGCGAGACAGACACGUCGAGCAGGUACGAAAGUAGGUCAUAGUGAUCCGGUGGUUCUGAAUGGAAGGGCCAUCGCUCAACGGAUAAAAGGUACUCCGGGGAUAACAGGCUGAUACCGCCCAAGAGUUCAUAUCGACGGCGGUGUUUGGCACCUCGAUGUCGGCUCAUCACAUCCUGGGGCUGUAGUCGGUCCCAAGGGUAUGGCUGUUCGCCAUUUAAAGUGGUACGCGAGCUGGGUUUAGAACGUCGUGAGACAGUUCGGUCCCUAUCUGCCGUGGGCGUUUGAGAGUUGAGAGGGGUUGCUCCUAGUACGAGAGGACCGGAGUGAACGAACCUCUGGUGUUCGGGUUGUCAUGCCAAUGGCACUGCCCGGUAGCUAUGUUCGGAAUCGAUAACCGCUGAAAGCAUCUAAGCGGGAAGCGAGCCUCAAGAUAAGCUCUCACUAGCACGUAAGUGCUCUGAAGGGUUGUUGAAGACGACGACGUUGAUAGGCGGGAUGUGGAAGCGUAGUAAUGCGUUGAGCUAACCCGUACUAAUUGCCCGUGAGGCUUAACCAU
rnacentral:rRNA from 1 species